CCUACGGGAGGCAGCAGUGAGGAAUAUUGGUCAAUGGACGAGAGUCUGAACCAGCCAAGUAGCGUGAAGGAUGACUGCCCUAUGGAUUGUAAACUUCUUUUAUCAAGGAAUAAAACGAGGCACGUGUGCCUUUUUGCAUGUACUUUAUGAAUAAGGAUCGGCUAACUCCGUGCCAGCAGCCGCGGUAAUACGGAGGAUCCGAGCGUUGUCCGGAUUUAUUGGGGUUAAAGGGAGCGUAGAUGGGUUGGUAAGUCAGGUGUGAAAGUUUGCGGCUCAACCCUAAGAUUGCAUUUGAUACUGGCAGUCUUGAGUACAGGUGAGGUAGGCGGAAUUCGCGGUGUAGCGGUGAAAUGCUUAGAUAUUACGAAGAACCCCGAUUGCGAAGGCAGCUUACUAAACUGUGACUGACACUGAGGCUCGAAAGUGUGGGUAUCAAACAGGAUUAGAUACCCGUGUAGUC
rnacentral:rRNA from 1 species